UCACCGUUUGCACGGGCAGUUUCGCUAGAGUCCCCGGCAUUAUCCGCUGGCAACUAGCAAUAGGGGUUGCGCUCGUUAUGGGACUUAACCCGACACCUCACGGCACGAGCUGACGACAACCAUGCAGCACCUUGCUGGAUGCCCCGAAGGGAGGACCGGUUUCCCGGCCUGUCAUCCAACAUUUAAGCCCUGGUAAGGUUCCUCGCGUAUCAUCGAAUUAAACCACAUGCUCCACCGCUUGUGCGGGCCCCCGUCAAUUCCUUUGAGUUUCAAUCUUGCGACCGUACUCCCCAGGUGGAUUACUUAAUGCUUUCGCUUAGUCGCUGACCGUAUAUCGCCAACAACGAGUAAUCAUCGUUUACAGCGUGGACUAC
rnacentral:misc_RNA from 1 species